rnacentral:rRNA from 1 species
UACGUAGGGGGCAAGCGUUGUCCGGAAUCAUUGGGCGUAAAGAGCGUGUAGGCGGUUCGGUAAGUCGGCUGUGAAAGUCCAGGGCUCAACCCUGGGAUGCCGGUCGAUACUGCCGGACUAGAGUUCGGAAGAGGCGAGUGGAAUUCCCGGUGUAGCGGUGAAAUGCGCAGAUAACGGGAGGAACACCUAUGGCGAAGGCAGCUCGCUGGGACGUUACUGACGCUGAGACGCGAAAGCGUGGGGAGCAAACAGG